CAUGCCUACAACAUAAUGUUAAUGCACUGGAUCCCAUUAGAACUCCACAGUUAAACGUGCUCGGGCUAGAGUAGUGCUGUUGUUGGGAGGCCUCUUAGGCCCUGUUAUAGUGCAAGUCGUAGGUUGGU
rnacentral:rRNA from 1 species